AAUUUUAUGAUAUACUAGUAUGUAGAUAUAGGAAGAUGUGGUGUGAGUGCCAAUGAGACAUGCAACUCUCCAUCCAAAUAACAAUUUAUAAAAAGGUAAACCAUUGUAGGUCAAUGUACGGUCUUCAACACGGAGCCUUGGUUCACACCGAACAACAAGGUAUAAAGGGCCUCAAAAUUACUAGUGUAAAAAACAAUAGCAUAACAUCACAACAUAGAAAAACACACGUUAAAAUAUCAAUUGGCAGACUUAACUCAAUCAAAAAACAUAAAUUAAUACACAUAUGUAGCUGUUUUCCUAAGAACUGUUAAUAAUAUAUGCAUAAAAAGAAAUGUCAUAAGAUGUUGGAACGUUUCGUAAAUAAUUCAUCGAC
rnacentral:lncRNA from 1 species